rnacentral:rRNA from 1 species
ACGGGUGAGUAACGCGUGGGAAUCUACCCAGCUCUACGGAAUAACUCAGGGAAACUUGUGCUAAUACCGUAUACGUCCGAUAGGAGAAAGAUUUAUCGGAGUUGGAUGAGCCCGCGUUGGAUUAGCUAGUUGGUGGGGUAAUGGCCUACCAAGGCGACGAUCCAUAGCUGGUCUGAGAGGAUGAUCAGCCACACUGGGACUGAGACACGGCCCAGACUCCUACGGGAGGCAGCAGUGGGGAAUAUUGGACAAUGGGCGCAAGCCUGAUCCAGCCAUGCCGCGUGAGUGAUGAAGGCCCUAGGGUUGUAAAGCUCUUUCACCGGUGAAGAUAAUGACGGUAACCGGAGAAGAAGCCCCGGCUAACUUCGUGCCAGCAGCCGCGGUAAUACGAAGGGGGCUAGCGUUGUUCGGAAUUACUGGGCGUAAAGCGCACGUAGGCGGAUUGUUAAGUUAGGGGUGAAAUCCCAGGGCUCAACCCUGGAACUGCCUCUAAUACUGGCAAUCUCGAGUUCGAGAGAGGUGAGUGGAAUUCCGAGU